GACGAACGCUGGCGGCGUGCUUAACACAUGCAAGUCGAACGAAGUGGGAACGGGUGAGUAAUACGUGGGUAACCUCCCUCCUUUUUGGGAUAAGCCUUGGAAACGGGUUCUAAACCGAAUAGAUGGGCUCGCGGCCUCUCAGCUUGUUGGUGGGGUGAUGGCCUACCCAGGCGGUGACGGGUAGCCGGCCUGCGAGGGGGACUGGCCACAUUGGGACUGAGAUACGGCCCAGACUCCUACGGGAGGCAGCAGUGGGGAAUCUUCCGCAAUGGACGAAAGUCUGACGGAGCAACGCCGCGUGAGUGAUGACGGCCUUCGGGUUGUAAAGCUCUGUUAAUCGGGACGCGGUACCGGAAUAGAAAGCCACGGCUAACUACGUGCCAGCAGCCGCGGUAAUUC
rnacentral:rRNA from 1 species